rnacentral:rRNA from 1 species
AUAGCGUAUAUUAAAGUUGUUGCAGUUAAAACGCUCGUAGUUGAACUUCAGACCUGGCUGGGCGGUCCGCUUAACGGCGUGUACUGUCUGGCUGGGCCUUACCUCUUGGUGAGCCGGCGUGCCCUUUAUUGGUGUGCGUCGGGGAACCAGGACUUUUACCUUGAGAAAAUUAGAGUGUUCAAAGCAGGCCUAUGCCUGAAUACAUUAGCAUGGAAUAAUAAAAUAGGACGUGCGGUUCUAUUUUGUUGGUUUCUAGAGUCGCCGUAAUGAUUAAUAGGGAUAGUUGGGGGCAUUAGUAUUCAGUUGCUAGAGGUGAAAUUCUUGGAUUUACUGAAGACUAACUACUG